rnacentral:rRNA from 1 species
GACGAACGCUGGCGGCGUGCUUAACACAUGCAAGUCGAGCGGUAAGGCCCUUUCGGGGGUACACGAGCGGCGAACGGGUGAGUAACACGUGGGUGACCUGCCCUCAGCUCUGGGAUAAGCCUGGGAAACCGGGUCUAAUACUGGAUAUGACUCCAUGACGCUUGUUGUGGGGUGGAAAGCCUUGUGCGGCUGAGGAUGGGCCCGCGGCCUAUCAGCUUGUUGGUGGGGUGAUGGCCUACCAAGGCGACGACGGGUAGCCGGCCUGAGAGGGCGACCGGCCACACUGGGACUGAGACACGGCCCAGACUCCUACGGGAGGCAGCAGUGGGGAAUUUUGGACAA